rnacentral:rRNA from 1 species
UACGUAGGGUGCGAGCGUUGUCCGGAAUUAUUGGGCGUAAAGAGCUUGUAGGCGGUCUGUCGCGUCUGCUGUGAAAAUCCGGGGCUCAACCCCGGACUUGCAGUGGGUACGGGCAGACUAGAGUGUGGUAGGGGAGACUGGAAUUCCUGGUGUAGCGGUGAAAUGCGCAGAUAUCAGGAGGAACACCGAUGGCGAAGGCAGGUCUCUGGGCCACUACUGACGCUGAGAAGCGAAAGCUAGGGGAGCGAACAGG